CCUACGGGUGGCUGCAGUCGAGAAUCAUUCACAAUGGGGGAAACCCUGAUGGUGCGACGCCGCGUGGGGGAAUGAAGGUCUUCGGAUUGUAAACCCCUGUCAUGUGGGAGCAAAUUAAAAAGAUAGUACCACAAGAGGAGGAGACGGCUAACUCUGUGCCAGCAGCCGCGGUAAUACAGAGGUCGCAAGCGUUGUUCGGAAUCACUGGGCGUAAAGCGUGCGUAGGCUGUUUCGUAAGUCGUGUGUGAAAGGCGUGGGCUCAACCCGCGGACUGCAAAUGAUACUGCGAGACUAGAGUGAUGGAGGGGGAAGCGGAAUUCUCGGUGUAGCAGUGAAAUGCGUAGAUAUCGAGAGGAACACUCGUGGCGAAGGCGGGUUCCUGGACAUUAACUGACGCUGAGGCACGAAGGCCAGGGGAGCGAAAGGGAUUAGAUACCCCUGUAGUC
rnacentral:rRNA from 1 species